CGUUGAAAAGAGCAAACCCGCGGCAACGCGGGGACGCAAAGCCAAACAGGCCCCUCAGGGGCGGCUGGGUUGCCAAU
rnacentral:ncRNA from 1 species